rnacentral:rRNA from 2 species
UCCAGGUGUAGCGGUGAAAUGCGUAGAGAUCUGGAGGAAUACCGGUGGCGAAGGCGGCCCCCUGGACAAAGACUGACGCUCAGGUGCGAAAGCGUGGGGAGCAAACAGGAUUAGAUACCCUGGUAGUCCACGCCGUAAACGAUGUCUACUUGGAGGUUGUGCCCUUGAGGCGUGGCUUCCGGAGCUAACGCGUUAAGUAGACCGCCUGGGGAGUACGGCCGCAAGGUUAAAACUCAAAUGAAUUGACGGGGGCCCGCACAAGCGGUGGAGCAUGUGGUUUAAUUCGAUGCAACGCGAAGAACC